rnacentral:rRNA from 1 species
AUAUAAGUAGCGGAGGAAACGAAACUAACCAGGAUUCCCUUAGUAGUGGCGAAUGAACAGGGAAAAGCUCAAUGUCGAACCGUCUUCGGAUGGGAUGUGACGAUAGCGGGAAACCAGUAGAUAGCACUGUGAAAGUCUCCUGGAACGGAGCGCCAACGAGGGUGACAGCCCCGCGUAUCACUAUGCCGAAUUUACGUACGGUUCCUGCAUAAAGAGUCGCGUUCUUUGGGAUAAGAGCGCUAAAGGGUGGUAAGUUCCAUCCAAGGCUAAAUAUGACCACGAGACCGAUAGCGCACAAGUA